AUAAAACAAUAUAAAUAUAAAACGUAGAAAAAUAUAAAAUGUAGAAAAAUAUAAAACAAUAGGAUAGUUUAUUGUUUCCAAAAACAAUGGAAAUGUAAAUAUAAAAUGUAGAAAAAUAAAUAUGGAAACAGAGCAAAGUGGGCAAGUGUUCUCACCCUGUUCCGGUACUCCUUGGAAUAAAGCGUGUACUCAUCCAUAACCCA
rnacentral:lncRNA from 1 species